GACGAACGCUGGCGGCGUGCUUAACACAUGCAAGUCGAACGGAAAGGCCCUGCUUUUGUGGGGUGCUCGAGUGGCGAACGGGUGAGUAACACGUGAGUAACCUGCCCUUGACUUUGGGAUAACUUCAGGAAACUGGGGCUAAUACCGGAUAGGAGCUCCUGCUGCAUGGUGGGGGUUGGAAAGUUUCGGCGGUUGGGGAUGGACUCGCGGCUUAGCAGCUUGUUGGUGGGGUAGUGGCUUACCAAGGCUUUGACGGGUAGCCGGCCUGAGAGGGUGACCGGCCACAUUGGGACUGAGAUGCGGCCCAGACUCCUACGGGAGGCAGCAGUGGGGAAUAUUGCACAAUGGGCGGAAGCAUGAUGCAGCAACGCCGCGUGCGGGAUGACGGCCUUCGGGUUGUAACCCGCUUUCGCCUGUGACGAAGCGUGAGUGACGGUAAUGGGUAAAGAAGCACCGGCUAACUACGUG
rnacentral:rRNA from 1 species